rnacentral:lncRNA from 1 species
CUUUUUGUAUGUUCUUUGUAUGCCAUUUUUUUUUUAAAUAUUUGAGUUAACCAAUGAUAUUAGGCCACACUUGGCCAUGAUUACAAACACCUGUGUGUCUCUUGACACUAUAUAAAUGACUCAUCUCGCAGUGUUUGUGAUGAUACCCUGAUGAAGACAGCUUUGCUGUCGAAAUGUUGGUUAUAAAAUUUUUGCAUCUGAGCUCUUAGAGUGUGCGGCUUUCCCUUAUUUUCUAGUUUUCUACUCCGCUAGCCAGCACCUCGCCUUUAUAGGUGUGCGUUUCUUUUUUCUAGAUCCCACUGGUUACCUCGCCACUGGGGUCCAGUUUGAGUGUCACACUAUCUAUGGUGAAUACUGGACAACCACACACACAGACACACAAAGACACCAUGACAUCCAAGGCUAAUGCAAACUACUAUUUGGGGUACAAAAUAUCCAAGGCUAAAUUGACUAUUCUUCAAGACUAGCCUGGGAGUUCCCUCUGUGCUUUCUCCUUUACAGUGCAGGUAGAGUCCUCCAGACAGAGGAAGGCCCUUCCCUGGUGCCUGGCGGCCCUCCACAGUAAGCAGGAGAUGUGCCUGGUGACCCUCCACUCCACUGCACAGUAAGCAGGAGGUGUGCCUGGCGGCCCUCCACUCCACUGCACAGUAAGCAGGAGGUGUGCCUGGCGGCCCUCCACUCCACUGCACAGUAAGCAGGAGGUGGAGGAGGAAGGAAAGGAGGAAAACACUUUAACAAACACAGACCAACCUUCCCCUCCCCUGGGAGGGCUGUGGCUUUACCUUGGCUCCUGUUCGCACUCAAUACCAACAACACUAUUGGGCCUGAGCUGCCACAACAAAGCGGGCAUUUUGUUCCACAUCCUCCCUGGUAAUACUUUUAGAAUAGGUACACAUACAGCUCAGCCAUGCAGGAGAAAUGGUUGAGACCUGAGCCAAAAGUACUUUGGAGCCAAAUUUGUGACUCAGCCUUCGGGGAAUAGAUACGAUCUGUUAUUACAGUUAUAUACCACCAGCUCCCUCUCAAUACCCCAACGAGAGCACAGAAUGAACUAAGUUGCUGAGAAAAAAUAAAACCAUUACAGUAUCUGAGAAUGUAGGUGGAUCAAAGAGGUUUAACAUCUCAGAAGCUCGUUCACAUGCUGACACAAAACAAUGAAACCAGCUGCGUAUUCCGCUUAAAAUACCUUCAAUAAAUCGAAUGAAAAACAUGAAAAUAUCAAGGAAGCCAGAUGCUCACAAUACCCAUUUCCUACAAAAAUAACUAUUUUGUGUGAGGCAUAAAAAUAGCCGCUUAUCAACCGUAGAGAGGACCAACUGCCCUCAAACUGUCUCUAUGCUGGGACUCUUCCAGCUCUCUGGUGCAUUUAUUAAAGUGGCAUCAAAUACAGAAAGUAAUUGUGUCUCAUACUUACAUGACUGAGCUCCUGCCCCUUGCCCUGUGAGUGGAGAUAGGUGGAGAGAGACAGAGGAGGAAUAAGAAUAGAAAACAAGUGAUGUGAGAGACAGACAUACAUAUGAAUAGAAGGUGAACUAAAGGUAACCUAUCUGAGCUCAGAAAGUAGAGUAGAGUGCUGGGUCCUUACAGGGUGAGCAGACUGGUCAGCAGCAGCAGAGGCAGGUAGAGUGGUGGGGAGUCCAUCCUGAGUGAUGACACUGAUACAGCACCACAGCCAGGAGCAAGAGUGGCAGGCGCUCACAUAGGGACAGGGGAAGAAGGGAAAGACGGGCCGGG